GGGACUUUAGAGUUUGAAUAACACAGGAAAUGUAGAAGUUAGAAUCUUAUUCUGUAGGGCACUUUCAUUCAGUCAUGGACAAGUAGGACAUAAAAACCAUGUUUCAAGAUCUCUUGUCAUAUAGAGCAGAUCUGAGGUAAUGACUCAAGUCAACCUGUUUAUCUUGCCCUGUGGGAGGGGAGAUUAUAUAUAUAUAUAUAUAUAUAUAUAUAUAUAUAUAUAUAUACACACAUACAUAUAUACACACAAAACAUAUUUAUAUAACAGUGUUUAGUCUUUCAUAAAAUAGUGUCUGAAUUUUUCAAAAUGUAGCAUUUCCCAUGGCAAAAGUCUUAACAGGAGGCAUACUUGCCAAAAAAAUAGCACUAAGCCAUUCUUUAAAAUGCUACCUAGAGCAAGCCUCCUAUCCAAAUAAUGCCCCAAGUUAGUCCUCACAAAGUAUCCACUGACACAUUUUGUGUUGUCAUGUCAGAUUUCAACUGCUAGUUACUAAGUGAUUUCAAUAUUUAUAAAUUCCAGUUUAUUUGAAAAUAAAAGCUUAAAUUAUGAAGUUAUCUGUAUUGAGUGAUGUGUGUGUCAGAAUAUGAACUUUAGAAAUGAAACAUUUAGAAUCAAGCAAAAACAUAAGUACCUUUUCAAAAGUAGAUAUAUAAAAGUUAACAAGAAUCUUUUCUUUUGAGAGUGUAUUUAGGAUUUUGGAGAAUGUGUGAUAAUAGGUAAUUAACACAAAUAUCAACAUUUAUUGAAAAUGCCUUAAGGAAGGAUAGGUUGGUUACAUUUUAAUGAAAGAAUGCUAUGUCAUUGACUUUUCCAGUAUAUACUGUUUGUUUCCAGCAGUCUAAAUAAAACCUAUCCUUGCCUCUUCUACAGUUGAAACUGCUAUUAUUUUAUACCAUAAUGAAGAAUUUUUUUAAAUUAACUCUGCUUCUGCACCAU
rnacentral:lncRNA from 1 species